rnacentral:lncRNA from 1 species
GCGAUUGUAAUGAAGGGAAAACAGACCUGGGCAGAAUGUUUUAAGUUAUUUCAUCCACGAUUUUGGGUCUAUUUUCACCCAUAGUUUAUCAUUUUGAGAGCUUCUUAGUGGCGAUUGAAGAGGGAUUCGAGGAAAAUCACUUGGAGGUAGAAUUUUUGACUUCAUAGCUCAUUUUAGUUGAUUGAAUACCUAAUUAGUGGUGAGAAAUUUGGGAAAUAUGGGUAAUUAAGGCUUAAGUUUAAGAUGCCUUUAAAUGAGGAUUGAGGGGCCAUUUGGGAUCCAAUUUUUUUAUUCUUGUUAUGCAUAGACUUGUGAGAGUAUAAGGUUUUUGAAAAUAUAAAUUUCACCCGAUUCCAAGACGUUGUCCUGAGGGGAAUUACGGUCAUUUUACAUAAUUUCGUGUAUUAGCUUAGAAUUUAAUUGUAGAACCAGCUUCUUAAAGUAUUAUUUAUCUUGUGA